ensembl:lncRNA
CACAGUUAACACUGAAAGAAAUUACUUUUAGGGUAUGAGCCAAAAUGUGCCAUUUUUGUCUUUCCCUUUAAAUGCAAAUAAGCUGGUGCUUUUGGAGAAGAGAGCGGAACUUCAAGAGCUCAAGCUCUGGCAAUACCGGUGCUAGCCUUUGCAAAUAAAUACUCCACUAUUAGUACAAGCCUGUUAUCUUUACAGAAAAUGCACUUGGUUUAAAAGUCAGUCAUCUGAUUGUACUGUGCAUGCAAAAUGCACUUUAUGAAUUACACAGAAGAGAGCAUUGCAUGAUAAUAACCUACCUAAUAACCUACCUAACAUUGUUCGGGAGGCAGACACACUCUUGCAGUUUAAAUCUAGAUUAAAGACCCAUCUCUUUAACCUGGCUUACACAUAACAUACUAAUACACUUCUAAUAUCCAAAUCCGUUAAAGGAUUUUUAGGCUCAAAAUACCUUAUAGAUAAUUUUUAUAGCUUGCUAAAAUUGCCACUUUUGGGGUAUGCCGUUUUCCCCUUAAAAGCAAAUGAACUGGUGCUCUGGGGAAGAGGGUGGAGCUUCAAGAGCUCAAGCUCUGGUAAUACCUCGCAUUGCUUUCAUAUGCAAUUUUAACUCCCACAUUCCUAUUUACGAUCAUUCUGGUAGCACGUGAAGACAACAUCAGUGAUAACAGACAGACAAUGGUAGCUUUAGCAACAUUAGCCUUACAAAGUGCCAAGAAGCUCUUUCAGAAAGGCAAUUUGGAAAACUAACGCGUGACACUUAUUUUUUCUGGAGGUGUAGCUGGAUCACGAACAGCUGGCACUGCUCUAUCCUUCAGGAGCAAUUUUGUGCAAAACCUGCUUUGUACUGACCCUCAUUCACAAAGCAGUCCGGUGUAAAUGAUUCACACAGACGUAAACUAAUUUUCUUCGAAAACAAAAUUAAUCCACCUUGUCUUCAGGGGCUCAGAUUUUGGGAGCAAGGAGAGAGCUAUGUGGAUUCAUACAUCCAGCUACAAAACACCUAAAGCGCUUGGGAGACAUUCUCGUCAGUGCAGCAAUGGUGGACUAUUUAUAACUCGCUGUGAACUUUCUCGGGGCGGUUCUAUGUUAUAAUGGCAGUGUCUGUCAACAUUCGUAGGUGGGGCCUGUGGCUAAUGUGACGUCACAUUAGCACCAGGUCAGAAAACAGGUAGCUGGGAGACACUGCUUAUGAUCUAUGGGGAUUAAAAAAAUAUAUAUAAAAAAAAUCUAAGCUGAUUUCAUAAGGAGAAACACCUAAGAAGAGGGGGCAUUCUCCAUUUGUUUUCUAUUUAAUCCCACUGCCUUUUAUGAGAAAGAAUGAAGGAACAUAUCUGUGAUCAUUUUUGUGGGUAAUCACACAUUGGCCAUGAGUGAGUAAGUGUAUGUGAAAGCAUAAGGUUUUGUAGCCACAUUCUCUCUCUCUCUGCAAUGAUUCAAAGAAGUCUGAGAAAUGUGACUCAUUUAAUGUAUCAGGAAACCCUUCCGAUGAU